CAGUAGCCGCGGGAAUACGGAGGGUGCAAGCGUUAAUCGGAAUUACUGGGCGUAAAGCGUGCGUAGGCGGUUCGUUAAGUCUGUUGUGAAAGCCCCGGGCUCAACCUGGGAAUGGCAAUGGAUACUGGCGAGCUAAAGUGUGUCAGAGGAUGGUGGAAUUCCCGGUGUAGCGGUGAAAUGCGUAGAGAUCGGGAGGAACAUCAGUGGCGAAGGCGGCCAUCUGGGGCAACACUGACGCUGAGGCACGAAAGCGUGGGGAGCAAACAGGAUUAGAUACCCCAGUAGUCCCUGUCUCUUAUAC
rnacentral:rRNA from 1 species